AUUGAACGCUGGCGGCAGGCCUAACACAUGCAAGUCGAGCGGAUGAAGGGAGCUUGCUCCUGGAUUCAGCGGCGGACGGGUGAGUAAUGCCUAGGAAUCUUCCUGUUAGUGGUGGAUUACGUCCGGAAACGGGCGCUUAUACCCCAUACGUCCUGAGGGCGACAUUGGGGGUUCUUCGGACCUCUCGCUAUCAUAUAUGCCUAGGUCGGAUUAGCUCGUUUGUGGGGUAAAGUCCUUCCCAGGCGGCGAUCCGUAACUGGUCUGAGAGGAUGAUCAGUGGCACUAGAAGUGAGACACGGUCCAGACGCCUGAGGGAGGCAGCAGUGGGGAAUAGUAGACAGUGGGCGAAAGCCUGAUACAGACGGGCCGAGUGUGUGAAGAAGGUCUUCGGAUAGGAAAGAACUUUAAGGUGGGAGGAAGGGCAGUAAGUUAAUAACUUGCUGUAGUGACGUUACCAACAGAAGAAGCACCGGCUAACUUCGUG
rnacentral:rRNA from 1 species